GAGGGUAGAGCUCAGUGGUAGAGCACAUGCUUAUUAUCAAGCACAAGGUGCUGGGUUCAAUCCCCAGUACCUCCA
rnacentral:tRNA from 1 species